rnacentral:rRNA from 1 species
ACGGAAGGCAGCAGUGGGGAAUAUUGCACAAUGGGGGAAACCCUGAUGCAGCGACGCCGCGUGAGUGAAGAAGUUAUUCGUAAUGUAAAGCUCUAUCAGCAGGGAAGAAAAUGACGGUACCUGACUAAGAAGCCCCGGCUAACUACGUGCCAGCAGCCGCGGUAAUACGUAGGGGGCAAGCGUUAUCCGGAUUUACUGGGUGUAAAGGGAGCGUAGACGGUCUGGCAAGUCUGAUGUGAAAGGCAGGGGCUCAACUCCUGGACUGCAUUGGAAACUGUCAGUCUUGAGUGCCGGAGAGGUAAGCGGAAUUCCUAGUGUAGCGGUGAAAUGCGUAGAUAUUAGGAGGAACACCAGUGGCGAAGGCGGCUUACUGGACGGUAACUGACGUUGAGGCUCGAAAGCGUGGGGAGCAAACAUGAUUAGAUACCCUGGUA